rnacentral:lncRNA from 1 species
AUCUGGUUUCUCUGUGUUCUCUCCAGCGAGGUGCCAGUGACUUACAUCUAGUUUGGUACUUGUGUGGAGAAGGGUCCUGGUCGAGUAACCUGCCCACAGCCUUCCCUGGAAACUGAGUGUGAUCUUCUUACUCCCACACUGUCUGGAGGGCUCCACUCCUGAGGGAUGCUCAGCCUGGAUUGGAGAAUGGAAUUUUGUUAGCACUGCAGUAUCAGUGAAGAGUUCCCACAGCCAUUAGACCAGCACAGUUGAAAGUCUUCCACACAGGUCUUGAUAUUUGUAGCACUUUGGCCAGGCAAAGGAAGGAGCAGGCACCAGUACCAACACACGAAUUAGAUACCACACAGCUCAACUUCCUUCCUUCUGCCCCAGUGAGAUAUGCUGAUGAGGCCCAUGGGCCAUGUUAUCCUUGCUCUGCUGAUGAGGAGUGUCAAAGUGGAAAAGGAGUAGGAGGAUCCAGGGCCAAGGGCAGGUCUCCAGGACUCAUGGGGCCAUUCUGGGGCAGGAGUAUACCUCAAAGAAGGGGACAUGGACUGGCCUGGUGAGGGGUAAGAUACAGAGAAGCCCACAGUGGGUUUCCAGAGCUGGGCCAGGGUGCGUGUGGAGCAGGGCUGUUUACUCAGCUGUCGGAGAAGAUUACAGGCAGGGUUGGUACUGAUAAAGCCGGUUGUUUUCAAACUAAACAUGGCCUUUCCUCGGAGCUGGCAAGAUGAGGUGCAAGACCACGGGGUCUCUGUGCGUCUUUCCGGUCCUAUCUCUGACCACAUAUCUCCCUGGGCUCAUGUGAGGAUAUUUGAAUGAACUCCCCAAGAGACUCAGGCUGCCAUGAGUAGAUUCAAAGAACGGUCAUUCAGGACUGAAGCUCACAAAGCCCAAAACAGUCCUUUGAAGAUGAUGGCCUGGACAUGAGUAGCUGGUGUGGCCCUGGUAGUUCUGGACUAUGAGCCAAUGGCUCUGAGGGCUGCAGAAAUAGCUGCUGGAGGCACUAGCUGCCAGGACUGAGAAAGCUUGCACCUUGAGCUGCUUCAGGCCCUAGAAUGUUCUGUAUGCGUUCUCAAGUCAAGACUUACAAUUUAACUGCAAGAGAAGAGAAGUAACC